CAUCCAAUUUGCACACACACGUGUCAUCCAAUUUCCACCCCCUCCCCACUCCAAACUGAAGAAGCUACUUUCAUUUUGAAUUUUCAUCAUUUUCGUGCGUUUCGUUCCUCUCCCCCAACCCCCCGCAUUUCCUCCCUCCCUGUUUCUUUCCUUUUUCUUCCCCCACCCCCCGUACUCCUCUGCCCUAAGCAUUUCCCAAGAAGCCCUGCACUGAGAUUUUGAGUUUCUCCCCCGAAGCCCCGAGCUCAUCUGUUGUGCAAUUUCGAGUUCGCAAAUGAUUUCUUCUUCUUUGAGACUUCUUCUUCUUCUUGUUGUUCUUCUUCUCUAAGAUUUUUUCUUCUUCUCUAAGGUUUCUUCUUCUUCUUCUUCUCUGCGAGUUCGAACACACAGAUUGAAGCCCUCAAUCCACCGACGCGAAGCCCUCAGAUCUGCGAGAGGGGGUUUUGUCAUAUAUAUACAUGAAAUCUGGUCGAGUUUUCAAGCUUGCCCUAACUGGGUUUUGCUCUCGUCGCAGAGAUAUGCGGAAGGGAUCAGCGUGCUUCAUUUGCGCCACUGUAAAGAUGGUUUUUCUCUCGUCGCAGAGAUCUGCGUGCUUGUUUCUUGCCAUGGGAGAAGCGAAAUGCGAAUUUUUUGUUUGGCCGGAUAUACUUCACAAACUAGAAGAGAGCAUUUGUACAAGAGAGAAUAAAGUUUGGAAGAUGUGGGAUGAUGUAUUGUUGUGCGAGUAUGAAGUUCGAGAAAUGGAAGAUAAAGUACGAGAGAGAGAGAGAGAGAGAGAGAGAGAGAGAGAGAGACAACUCUUCAGAAGGAAAAGCGAAAAUUAUUGUAUUUAUACUGAAUUGUCACAUUUGUAAUAGUUUUGGCUUGAUUCAAAUAAAUAGUAUGUAAAUAGCACGUUGUAUGGAGUAUAUGAAAUUUUUUGAAUGCACCAAUUGUAAUGGUACUUCUCAAGUUGUGACCUUUGUAAUGACCUUUCAAUGAAAAGUUGUGUAUUGAAAACA